rnacentral:lncRNA from 1 species
GGGUAGUUGUUUUCUGUCUUGUGUUUUUCACUUGACAGAACUGUUGGCUUUCGUUUUUGUUUCUUUGUUUAACCUGUUAGGGCUAGGGGGCAGUAUUGACACGGCCGGAUAAAAAACGUACCCGAUUUAAUCUGGUUACUACUCCUGCCCAGUAACUAGAAUAUGCAUGUAAUUAUUGGCUUUGGAUAGAAUGGUGUCUGUGAGUAUAACAGAACUCAUAUGGCAGGAAAAAACCUGAGAAGAUUCCAAACAGGAAGCGCCCUCUCUGACAAGUUGUUGUUCAUCUUGGCUCUUUUUAUUGAAGACUGAGGAUCUUUGCCGUAACAUGACACUUCCUACGGCUCCCAUAGGCUCUCAGAACCCGUGAAAAAGCUGAAUGAUAUCGAGGCAGCCUCUGGCUGAAACACAUUAUCGCAUUUGAAUAGUGGCUGGUCAGAGUAUGUAUUUAUUUUCUCUCUCUUUGUACGUAUACAGGCUUUCCCGGUCAGAAUAUUAUCGCUUUUUUAUGAGAAAAAUGGCCUAAAAAUUGAUUUUAAACAGCGGUUGACAUGCUUCAAAGUACGGUAAUGGAAUAUUUAGAAUUUUUUUGUCACGAAAUGCGCCAUGCUCGUCACCCUUAUUUACCCUUUCGGAUAGUGUCUUGAACGCACGAACAAAACGCCGCUAUUUGGAUAUAACAAUGGAUUAUUUGGGACCAAACCAACAUUUGUUAUUGAAGUAGAAGUCCUGGGACUGCAUUCUGACGAAGAACAGCAAAGAUGAUUGUUACAGAACUACCCACCACAACUGGGUCAAGCAGCGUGCUCGGGAGGAGAUGGACACCUGGUCUCAUCAGGAGUGGAUUGGGAGGAGAGACUGGACUUGGAGCCAGGUGAUCGACAGAUAUCGGAGCCUACCCGGGAAGAAUGAGAGGCAGCCCCAAAACAUUUUUUUGGGGGGCACACGGGUAGUUUGGCUGGACCAGGGGUGAGGCCUGAGUCAACUACCCGUGCUUUUUGCGGUAAGCAGGUGCCUGCCUCUCGCACUCUCUCUCCAGUGCACCUGCCCAGCCCAGUACGUCCUGUGCCUGCUCCCAGAGCCAGGCCUCCUGCAUGUCUCCCCAGCCUGGUGAGUCCUGUGCCAGCUCCUAGAGCCAGGCCUCCUGCAUGUCUCCCCAGCCUGGUGAAUCCUGUGCCUGCGCCCAGAGCCAGGCCUACUGCAAGUCCCAUCAGUCCGGAGCCGCCAGAGCC